rnacentral:rRNA from 1 species
UAAUACGUAGGUGGCAAGCGUUGUCCGGAUUUACUGGGCGUAAAGAGCGCGCAGGCGGUCGUUCAAGUCGCGUGUGAAAGCCCCCGGCUCAACUGGGGAGGGUCACGCGAUACUGAUCGACUCGAAGGCAGGAGAGGGUAGUGGAAUUCCCGGUGUAGUGGUGAAAUGCGUAGAUAUCGGGAGGAACACCAGUGGCGAAGGCGACUACCUGGCCUGUUCUUGACGCUGAGGCGCGAAAGCUAGGGGAGCAAACGGGAUUAGAUACCCCGGUAGUCCUAGCUGUAAACGAUGAGUGCUGGGUGUAGAGGGUAUUAACCCCUUCUGUGCCGAAGCUAACGCAUUAAGCACUCCGCCUGGGGAGUACGGUCGCAAGGCUG